AUUGAACGCUGGCGGCAGGCCUAACACAUGCAAGUCGAACGAGUGGCGGACGGGUGCGUAAUGUCUGGGACACUGCCCGAUGGCGGGGGAUAACUACUGGAAACGGUAGCUAAUACCGCAUCCCAUCAGAUGUGCCCAGAUGGGAUUAGCUGGUAGGUGGGGUAACGGCUCACCUAGGCGACGCUCCCUAGCUGGUCUGAGAGGAUGACCAGCCACACUGGAACUGAGACACGGUCCAGACUCCUACGGGAGGCAGCAGUGGGGAAUAUUGCACAAUGGGCGCAAGCCUGAUGCAGCCAUGCCGCGUGUGUGAAGAAGGCCUUCGGGUUGUAAAGCACGUUCAGCGGGGAGGCGUUACCCGCAGAAGAAGCACCGGCUAACUCCGUGCCAGCAGCCGCGGUAAUAC
rnacentral:rRNA from 1 species